GAUGAACGCUGGCGGCGUGCUUAACACAUGCAAGUCGAACGGAAAGGCUCCUGCUUGCAGGGGUACUCGAGUGGCGAACGGGUGAGUAACACGUGGGUGAUCUGCCCUGCACUUCGGGAUAAGCCUGGGAAACUGGUCUAAUACCGGAUAGGACGAUGGUUUGGAUGCCAUUGUGGAAAGUUUUUCGGUGUGGGAUGAGCUCGCGGCCUAUCAGCUUGUUGGUGGGGUAAUGGCCUACCAAGGCGUCGACGGGUAGCCGGCCUGAGAGGGUGUACGGCCACAUUGGGACUGAGAUACGGCCCAGACUCCUACGGGAGGCAGCAGUGGGGAAUAUUGCACAAUGGGCGCAAGCCUGAUGCAGCGACGCCGCGUGGGGGAUGACGGCCUUCGGGUUGUAAACUCCUUUCGCUAGGGACGAAGCGCAAGUGACGGUACCUGGAGAAGAAGCACCGGCUAACUACGUG
rnacentral:rRNA from 1 species